rnacentral:rRNA from 1 species
CCUACGGGUGGCAGCAGUAGGGAAUAUUGCUCAAUGGGGGAAACCCUGAAGCAGCAACGCCGCGUGGAGGAUGAAGGUUUUCGGAUUGUAAACUCCUGUUGUUAGAGAAGAUAAUGACGGUAUCUAACGAAUAAGCACCGGCUAACUCCGUGCCAGCAGCCGCGGUAAUACGGAGGGUGCAAGCGUUACUCGGAAUCACUGGGCGUAAAGAGCGCGUAGGCGGGAUAGCAAGUCAGAUGUGAAAUCCUAGGGCUUAACCAUAGAACUGCAUUUGAAACUGGUAUUCUAGAGUAUGGGAGAGGUAGGUGGAAUGCUUGGUGUAGGGGUAAAAUCCGUAGAGAUUCAGAGGAAUACUCAUUGCGAAGGCGACCUGCUAGAACAUAACUGACGCUGAUGCGCGAAAGCGUGGGGAGCAAACAGGAUUAGAUACCCCUGUAGUC